UUAACACAUGCAAGUCGAGCGAAGCACUUUUGCGGAUUCUUCGGAUUGAAGCAACUGUGACUGAGCGGCGGACGGGUGAGUAACGCGUGGGUAACCUGCCUCAUACAGAGGGAUAACAGUUGGAAACGGCUGCUAAUACCGCAUAAGCGCACAGUACCGCAUGGUACGGUGUGAAAAACUCCGGUGGUAUGAGAUGGACCCGCGUCUGAUUAGGUAGUUGGUGGGGUAACGGCCUACCAAGCCGACGAUCAGUAGCCGACCUGAGAGGGUGACCGGCCACAUUGGGACUGAGACACGGCCCAAACUCCUACGGGAGGCAGCAGUGGGGAAUAUUGCACAAUGGGGGAAACCCUGAUGCAGCGACGCCGCGUGAGCGAUGAAGUAUUUCGGUAUGUAAAGCUCUAUCAGCAGGGAAGAAAAUGACGGUACCUGACUAAGAAGCCCCGGCUAACUACGUGCCAGCAGCCGCGGUAAUACGUAGGGGGCAAGCGUUAUCCGGAUUUACUGGGUGUAAAGGGAGCGUAGACGGCAUGGCAAGCCAGAUGUGAAAGCCCGGGGCUCAACCCCGGGACUGCAUUUGGAACUGUCAGGCUAGAGUGUCGGAGAGGAAAGCGGAAUUCCUAGUGUAGCGGUGAAAUGCGUAGA
rnacentral:rRNA from 1 species